GGAAACCCGAAUUUUUCCUCGCGCCCCCUUGAAGAGGUAAUUCAGGGAGUUUUUUCUUCCUCACCCGUGGGUCAACCUAUAUAAAAUUGUUGUUUGUUGGGCAGAGAGUCCUCCCGAUUCCCGCCCUCCCGCGCCCAGUUCGGAUCGCAGCCCGCCGCAGGAUAACCACACUCUGAUGUAAGGACGCUUCUCCUGAGUGGUACAAGCACAUAAUCAAAACUUUUAACAACGGAUCUUUUGGUUCUGGCAUCGAUGAAGAACGCAGCGAAAUGCGAUAAGUAAUGUGAAUUGCAGAAUUCAGUGAAUCAUUGAAUCUUUGAACGCACAUUGCGCCCGCCAGCAUUCUGGCGGGCAUGCCUGUUCGAGCGUCAUUUCAACCCUCAAGCUCUGCUUGGUGUUGGGGCCCUACAGCUGAUGUAGGCCCUCAAAGGUAGUGGCGGACCCUCCCGGAGCCUCCUUUGCGUAGUAACUUUACGUCUCGCACUGGGAUCCGGAGGGACUCUUGCCGUAAAACCCCCAAUUCUCCAAAGGUUGACGUCGGAUCAGGUAGGAAUACCCCGCUAACUU
rnacentral:rRNA from 1 species